rnacentral:rRNA from 1 species
GACGAACGCUGGCGGCGUGCUUAACACAUGCAAGUCGAACGGAAAGGCCCUGCUUUUGUGGGGUGCUCGAGUGGCGAACGGGUGAGUAACACGUGAGUAACCUGCCCUUGACUUUGGGAUAACUUCAGGAAACUGGGGCUAAUACCGGAUAGGAGCUCCUGCUGCAUGGUGGGGGUUGGAAAGUUUCGGCGGUUGGGGAUGGACUCGCGGCUUAUCAGCUUGUUGGUGGGGUAGUGGCUUACCAAGGCUUUGACGGGUAGCCGGCCUGAGAGGGUGACCGGCCACAUUGGGACUGAGAUACGGCCCAGACUCCUACGAGAGGCAGCAGUGGGGAAUAUUGCACAAUGGGCGGAAGCCUGAUGCAGCAACGCCGCGUGCGGGAUGACGGCCCUCGGGUUGUAAACCGCUUUCGCCUGUGACGAAGCGUGAGUGACGGUAAUGGGUAAAGAAGCACCGGCUAACUACGUG